rnacentral:rRNA from 1 species
AGUGAACGCUGGCGGCGUGCUUAACACAUGCAAGUCGAACGAGAACGGGCCUUCGGGCUGUCAGCUAAGUGGCGCACGGGUGAGUAAUGUAUAGUUAAUCUGCCCUUUAGAGGGGGAUAACAGUUGGAAACGACUGCUAAUACCCCAUACUCCUUUCUGCUUAAUGUAGAUUGGGAAAUGUUUUUUCGCUAAAGGAUGAGACUAUAUGGUAUCAGGUAGUUGGUGGGGUAAGAGCCCACCAAGCCAAUGACGCCUAGCUGGUCUGAGAGGAUGAUCAGCCACACUGGAACUGAGACACGGUCCAGACUCCUACGGGAGGCAGCAGUGGGGAAUAUUGCACAAUGGACGAAAGUCUGAUGCAGCAACGCCGCGUGGAG